UCAAGAGCAGGAUGAAUAUCACGCUUUGCUGUAUAUAAUCGUAAACGGUUGGACAAGCUUUAUAAUUUUUGGAGCACGAAUACUAUACAUACAUGUCUGAAUACGUCUACGUACAUAUAUGAGCUGUAGUAAUUUAAAAAAUCAUUUACCUACGUCAAGCAAUCCAAAGACAAUAGAUAUUACUUAAUGCUUUAGUUAUUGAAAAGUGGCACAAAUUCUGGAGCACUCAGCUUUAAACGGAUUAAAUUGAUUUGCUUGGUAAAAUGAACUGAGUAGAACAAAUUAUAAAACUACAACGCAAAACUAGUAAGCCAUUUAUAAAGAUCAUUUUUACCCGGUAUACCUUUGCUUUAGAUGAAACUAAUUUUGAAAUGCACCAUUAAAAAUAAGGUAUAUUAAGUGGUUU